CGCGAGGUAGAGCAGUUGGUCAGCUCGCAGCGCUCAUAACGCUGAGGUCGGGAGUUCGAGUCUCCCCUUCGCAACCA
rnacentral:tRNA from 1 species